rnacentral:rRNA from 1 species
CCUACGGGAGGCAGCAGUAGGGAAUAUUGCUCAAUGGGGGAAACCCUGAAGCAGCAACGCCGCGUGGAGGAUGAAGGUUUUCGGCUUGUAAACCCCUUUUGUUAGAGAAGAUAAUGACGGUAUCUAACGAAUAAGCACCGGCUAACUCCGUGCCAGCAGCCGCGGUAAUACGGCGGGUGCAAGGGUUACUCGGAAUCACCGGGCGUAAAGAGGACGUAGGCGGGAUAGCAAGGCAGAUGUGAAAUCCUAUGGCUUAACCAUAGAACCGCCUUUGAAACUGUUAUUCUAGAGUAUUGGAGAGGUAGGUGGAAUGCGUGGUGUAGGGGUAAAAUCCGUAGAGAUCAAGAGGAAUACUCAUUGCGAAGGCGACCUGCUAGAACAUAACUGACGCUGAUGCGCGAAAGCGUGGGGAGCAAACAGGAUUAGAUACCCGUGUAGUC